rnacentral:rRNA from 1 species
CUGUUUUAAAAAGAUGGUUCUGCUAUCACUCUUGGGAUGGACCUGCGGUGCAUUAGCUAGUUGGUAGGGUAACGGCCUACCAAGGCGAUGAUGCAUAGCCCGAGUUGAGAGACUGAUCGGCCACAUUGGGACUGAGACACGGCCCAAACUCCUACGGGAGGCAGCAGUAGGGAAAUCUUCCACAAUGGACGCAAGUCUGAUGGAGCAACGCCGCGUGAGUGAAGAAGGGUUUCGGCUCGUAAAGCUCUGUUGUUGGUGAAGAAGGACAGGGGUAGUAACUGACCUUUGUUUGACGGUAAUCAAUUAGAAAGUCACGGCUAACUACGUGCCCAGCAGCCGCGGGUAAU